GGUCUCGUGGUGCAGUUGGUAGCACGCCUGGCGACAAUGAGGGGGGCAUCAGGCUUGACCGCCAGAUGGGCAGCUCCCGGUUGUAUCACUCUCGGUCCUUCCGUCUGUGCCCAUGAGAUCUGCGUUCGAUUCGCAGCGAGACCA